UUCAAAACGCCAACAGCAUUCUGACGUCC
rnacentral:piRNA from 1 species